UUUCGUCGAGCGCUUCGCUCAUUCCCGAUAUCGGGUACCGCCAUAGUAUCCACCUAGCACUUGGUGGGCGCU
rnacentral:sRNA from 1 species